GAGAAAGUGUGCUGAAGACGCAGCUCCUCCGUACUGGAGCGAGGCUUUGGGCAGAGGGUUUGCACUGAGCUGAAAGUGGAGGAAAACGGUGAACCACCAGCGUUCUCACCACCUAACACAUUUUACAGCGAGUCUGCACUUUCUAGGAAAAUGAGUCAAAUACACAAUAAGUCAGUCAUCCUGUCUCUUUCUUGAGGGACCUGGAGGGACUUGAACCAUUGCCUGCAAUAUCAUGGGCCAGGAGUAGUGGCUCACGCCUGCAAUCCAAGCACUUUGGGAGGCCAAGGCAGGCAGAUCACCUGAGGUUGGGAGUUUGAGACCAGCCUGACCAACAUGGAGAAAUCCUGUCUCUACCAAAAAUACAAAAUUAUCCAGGCGUGAUGGCACGUGCCUGUAAUCCCAACUACUCAGGAGGCUGAGGAAGGAGAAUCGCUUGAACUUGGGAGGUGGAGGUUGCGGUGAGCCAAGAUCCCGCCAUUGCACUCCAGCCUGGGCAACAAGAGCAAAACUCCAUCUCAAAAAAAAAAAAAAAAAAAAAAUUUACAGAUUACGGUCUUAUUUCCAAGUCUUUCUUGAGGUCAACAGCAAACACGCAAAAAGAACAUGUUGGAGAAGACAAUGAACAUGUUUGAAUCUCAGUCUUUCCAUCUGUAUGUAGAAAUAACAUGAACACUUUAUUUAUUGUUUUGUCGUAAGGUUUUCAGGUAAUAGCAAUGUAAAGAGGCUAAGAAAGUGUAUUCAGUAAUACUCAUUGAAUAAACAUUAGCAGCAUCUAA